rnacentral:rRNA from 1 species
GACGAACGCUGGCGGCGUGCUUAACACAUGCGAGUCGAACGGAAAGGCCCUGCUUUUGUGGGGUGCUCGAGUGGCGAACGGGUGAGUAACACGUGAGUAACCUGCCCUUGACUUUGGGAUAACUUCAGGAAACUGGGGCUAAUACCGGAUAGGAUCUCCUGCUGCAUGGUGGGGGUUGGAAAGUUUCGGCGGUUGGGGAUGGACUCGCGGCUUAUCAGCUUGUUGGUGGGGUAGUGGCUUACCAAGGCUUUGACGGGUAGCCGGCCUGAGAGGGUGACCGGCCACAUUGGGACUGAGAUACGGCCCAGACUCCUACGGGAGGCAGCAGUGGGGAAUAUUGCACAAUUGGCGGAAGCCUGAUGCAGCAACGCCGCGUGCGGGAUGACGGCCUUCGGGUUGUAAACCGCUUUCGCCUGUGACGAAGCGUGAGUGACGGUAAUGGGUAAAGAAGCACCGGCUAACUACGUG